rnacentral:rRNA from 1 species
AGAGUUUGAUCAUGGCUCAGGACGAACGCUGGCGGCGUGCUUAACACAUGCAAGUCGAACGGAAAGGCCCUUCGGGGUACUCGAGUGGCGAACGGGUGAGUAACACGUGGGUGAUCUGCCCUGCACUCUGGGAUAAGCCUGGGAAACUGGGUCUAAUACCGGAUAGGACCGCAUGCUUCAUGGUGUGUGGUGCAAAGCUUUUGCGGUGUGGGAUGAGCCCGCGGCCUAUCAGCUUGUUGGUGGGGUAAUGGCCUACCAAGGCGACGACGGGUAGCCGGCCUGAGAGGGUGACCGGCCACACUGGGACUGAGAUACGGCCCAGACUCCUACGGGAGGCAGCAGUGGGGAAUAUUGCACAAUGGGCGCAAGCCUGAUGCAGCGACGCCGCGUGAGGGAUGACGGCCUUCGGGUUGUAAACCUCUUUCAGUAGGGACGAAGCGAAAGUGACGGUACCUACAGAAGAAGGACCGGCCAACUACGUGCCAGCAGCCGCGGUAAUACGUAGGGUCCGAGCGUUGUCCGGAAUUACUGGGCGUAAAGAGCUCGUAGGUGGUUUGUCGCGUUGUUCGUGAAAACUCACAGCUUAACUGUGGGCGUGCGGGCGAUACGGGCAGACUAGAGUACUGCAGGGGAGACUGGAAUUCCUGGUGUAGCGGUGGAAUGCGCAGAUAUCAGGAGGAACACCGGUGGCGAAGGCGGGUCUCUGGGCAGUAACUGACGCUGAGGAGCGAAAGCGUGGGUAGCAAACAGGAUUAGAUACCCUGGUAGUCCAA